GCAAAGGUGAAAAAAAAACCAACACCUCUUCAGCAGAUACUGAAUAGGGUGAAACACAGGGAGGAAAUUUCAGAUGUUAACAGCUGUGAAAGAAAAGAUACUGACAUUAGACAUGUGAGAUUGCUUAGAGACACAGUAGAGGCUCAUAUCAAAAUAGCUGUCAAUCUAUGUGACAAGAGGGCCAGUUCUUUACCAGCUGACAGGCCAGGCAUGAAGUGCCUCUUGAAAAGGUUCUUAGUGGUGCUAGGCACUGUGUUAGUCCUGGUAUCUGAUAAAAUAAUAAUAAUAAUUACUAUUAUUACUGGGAAAACUUCCCUCUGCAUCCAGGUGUCCUAUGCUUCGGGCCAUGCCACAUCUCCACCAGCCUUUGCUAAUGUAAAAGCUGAUGAAGUCUGUUUGUCCUAGCUGUGUUCUGAGGUUAUCCCUCCUUGGGACACAGCGCCCUUUUAAAGGUAUAAUCAUAGACCAGAUUACAACAGUUUCUGUGUUUAAUUACUUACAAAUGAACAGGAGAUGGAGAAGCAGCAAUAUAUAAAAGUAGCCCAACACUGUGUUGUCACCAGAAAGUGUCACUACGAAUGAAAGCUCUGUGCUACGGUCUGCAUUUAAAAAGGUUUUCACUUGGAGUCUUUGUGCUUGCCCUUUGUGCGACUGCAGCACUCCUAGAAGGUACCGUCCAUUUUGUGAGAUCUCUGCUGCAUUUCUGAACCCAUUCCUGUUGCUGACGGCAAGCCCCUGUUUGGCAUGUUGUUGCAGACUGAAGACUUCAAAUAUGCCAGAGAGUAGGUUUCUAGUUCAAAACUCUCCUGACGUGCAGGAUGCUGUAAUGCAUGGUACUACCUCAGAUGGGAAUAAUUCAGCAGACAAAUACAGAAAGGGCUCUAGGGAAGGAUCCAAGGUUUAUAUCGGUUUACCAGCUUGAGUCAGCCAUGGCGUACUAUCACAAAAAAGGCAAACCUCAUCUCAAAGAGAUAAACAGGACUGUCAUCAGCAAAAUGAUCCUUCCCCUUUAGUCAGCAAGAACAGGGUUUCUGGUGGAGACGUAUCCAGCUUUAGCCAGCAUAUUUCAAGAAUGAUGUGGAAAAUCUAGGGUGUUGAAGUAGACUAGCAGGAAAAACUGAAAUAUGACCCAGAGGAAAGAUUUAAACAGUUGGAAUUGUUUACUCUAAAGAGGAGAAGGCUGAUGGGAACCAUGAGAGCAGUAUACACACAAGCUGUGUCAGAAAAUGAAGACAGUAACCUGAUCUGAUUGUUCACAGGGGAAAAACUAGACUGAAAGGGCUUAAAAUACAGCAAAAAAUGCACAUCAGAGAUUAGGAGAGAGUGGUGAAGUUCUACAAACAGACUGCUUGAGGAAGAUGAGAAACUCCCAUACUGGAAGUAUAUAAAGGCAGUUAAAAACAUUCCUCUGUGAAGAAUUUUGUAGUUUACCCUUUAUUGAUAUAGUAAAUUGACUACAUGACCUUUCAGGGUCCCUUCCAGACGUAAUUUUCAGGGAUGAUAUGCUGAGAUGGCUGUGUUCUGAUUUCUUACCUACUCCUGACACUCAAGUGAUGAAAUGGAUCCUUGCUGAAAGUGACUGUACAAGUUCUUCUGGAAUCUGAAAUAGAAAAGCUAAGCCCUCCCCAGGGCCAGGGAAAUACCAGAGCUAUUGAAUUGAAGGAAUUAUGCAGGAAAGAUUCUGUUGAAUAAAGCAAGAGGAAUGUAAGCCGAUGGACUGUCUAACUUAUGAGGCAGCAAGAGAGUCAGGUGUUUCAGCAAUGAUGCCUUGAAAACCCAACCUAUAUGGUACAGAAAACUCUUUCUAAAAGGUUUGUAUCUACAAAUUAUCACCUCCCAGCCAUUCUCACAAGCCUAUGUUUGGCCCCUUCUACCCCAGGACUCCUCCGAGGGUGCCACAUGCCAUGCUGUUUUCACUGUAGAGACAAGAGAAGACAUCAGCUUGUCUAUUGCCCGUUUUUAUGAAGAAGAAAAAAAAAACAAACACAAACUUACAGCUCACUCACUCUUUUUGUCCCACACCCACUUAUUAAGACCUCCCCUACUCUUCAUCCAGCUCGUGACCUUCUGAAAACAACAAAAACAGCCCAGGAAGGUAGAUGCAUGAUUAUUCCUGUAGAGGGCUCAACAAUGUCUUUGGACAAUGCUGCUAUGAGUUGAUAUGUCUUCCCUUAGAUGAAUACUUUUAAUAAUUUUUCUGUUAGUUACAGCAAACCAAACCUAUCAGCCUGAACUGCAUUUUUGUGCUGUCAGGCCAAGUUUGGGCAUUCUCAGAAACAAUGCAGUACACACCAAACAAGCAAUAAUGAAGUAGCUGACUAUUUGCAUUCCUAAUCUGGCCAUCAAGCUUAAAGGGUUCAGGAGCAGUUAAAACUCUAUGCAAAACUUAGACUACGGUUUCACAACAUAACAACUGCUGCUGCUUUAAGACGUUCCCUCACAUCCCCUGCUCUGCAAGCCCUGGAGGUCAGUGGGACAGUGCUCUGAGCUUGGUCAGGAAAUGCAGAGGGCAUACAUUAAACCAGUACACCUCGUAGUUUUCUGCUGUGACACCACAGCCUAAUAAAACUCCCACAGCCACAAGAAACA